UGAGGAACAUGACCUUCGGCGGGGGAUAGCCGGCCCAACGGCCGGGUAAUACCGCGUACGACCACAUGGGGACAUCCCUGAGUGGUGAAAGCAGCAAUGCGCCGAUGGAGUGCCUCGCGGCCUAUCUGCUAGUUGGUGAGGUGACGGCUCACCAAGGCGACGACGGGUAGCUGGUCUGAGAGGAUGGCCAGCCACAUUGGGACUGAGACACGGCCCAGAUCCCGUAACGGGG
rnacentral:rRNA from 1 species